rnacentral:rRNA from 1 species
CCUACGGGAGGCAGCAGUGGGGAAUAUUGGGCAAUGGGCGCAAGCCUGACCCAGCAACGCCGCGUGAAGGAAGAAGGCUUUCGGGUUGUAAACUUCUUUUCUCAGGGACGAAGAAAGUGACGGUACCUGAGGAAUAAGCCACGGCUAACUACGUGCCAGCAGCCGCGGUAAUACGUAGGUGGCAAGCGUUAUCCGGAUUUAUUGGGUGUAAAGGGCGUGUAGGCGGGAGCGCAAGUCAGAUGUGAAAACUCAGGGCUCAACCCUGAGCCUGCAUUUGAAACUGUGUUUCUUGAGUGCUGGGGAGGCAAUCGGAAUUCGGGGUGUAGCGGUGAAAUGCGUAGAUAUACGGAAGAACACCGGUGGCGAAGGCGGAUUGCUGGACAGUAACUGACGCUGAGGCGCGAAAGCGUGGGGAGCAAACAGGAUUAGAUACCCGGGUAGUC